rnacentral:rRNA from 1 species
UAGUCCACGCCGUAAACGAUGUUCACUCGCUGUCUGCGAUACACAGUAGGCGGCUGAGCGAAAGCAUUAAGUGAACCACCUGGGGAGUACGAUCGCAAGGUUGAAACUCAAAGGAAUUGACGGGGGCCCGCACAAGCGGAGGAACAUGUGGUUUAAUUCGAUGAUACGCGAGGAACCUUACCUGGGCUUAAAUGUAGAUUGCAUGAUGUAGAAAUACGUCUUUUCUUCGGAACUAUUUACAAGGUGCUGCAUGGUUGUCGUCAGCUCGUGCCGUGAGGUGUCGGGUUAAGUCCCAUAACGAGCGCAACCCUUAUCGUUAGUUGCUAGCAGGUCAUGCUGUGGACUCUAGCGAGACUGCCACCGUAAGGUGAGAGGAAGGUGGGGAUGACGUCAAAUCAGCACGGCCCUUAUGUCCAGGGCUACACACGUGUUACAAUGGUCGGUACAAAGGGCAGCUACAUGGCAACAUGAUGCUAAUCUCUAAAGCCGA